AGGCAGGUGUCCAGACCUGCUCUAGGAAAGCCAGUGUUCUGUGGAGUUUAGCUCUAACUCACCUGCCUGGAACUUCUAAUUAAUGAAAUUGAAGUAUCCAAAUGAAGACCCUAGCAGUAUGGAGUAUAUGGUGAGUUCAAGGUUAAUAAAUGAUUUGUUAAAGUUAAUACACAAGAAUUUGAGUUCUCCAUCCUUUUGAAUACUUCUAGGAUACAGACGUUGGCAGCAAUCAGGAGGUGAUCCAGAAGACUCGUGGGAAUCUAUUUGAAGCUGAAGUCACUGAAGACAGUCGAGCAGAAGUUGGAGUUUUAAAGGAUAAAGUUCUUCAGGACCUAUAGCAGUUUACAGUCUGCAAAACCAUGUUUCUGGGACUGAUAUA